GCUCCCUCUCUCCGCGCCCGGAGCCAUGGCGGCGAGGAAUGCAGUCCAAGGAAAAGAUGAUCGGGCUUUGGAGUUUCUCUUUGAGGGUUGCAUAAUGGCACCAUAUCAACCUCUUCCAGAGACUGAUUGGGAAGAAGUUACUUAAUCGUAAUAUUUAGUGAGAUGCUUGUUUCAAAUGAAUUAAUGAAAAAUGAAACCCGUGGAUAUCCGAGGAGCGAGGAGAGGCACAUAAUCAGAUUUGGUCUGCUGAGGGGAAAUAUUGAAGAAUAGGCUAGACAGAGUGCUGAGGUGGAAGGCACUGACCUUAUUCACAAUGCUGGAGGCCACAAACAUCAGAGAAAGCUUGUGGAGCAAUGCAGCUCACAGACAGUAUGGUUUGAGGAGUGAACCCUGAAGGAUUCUACAAUGUGGAGGUGGCGGCAUUUGUUUGAAAUAAAAAAACUGGUGUUGGAGCAAUGAGUUCAGCUGACAGUUCCAAUCUCAUCAAGGGAUUUGUGAGGAGGAGUUGCCUCGCCUCAUCCUGAGAAGGUCAUAGAAAUGCCUUUGUGAAAUGAAUAAUCGGUGGAUGAUGCUGGAAACCAUUGACAUCAAAACAUAGUGCAAGAUGGAAGCGCGAUGACAAGGUGCUACAGAAUGGAGAACGAGCAAGACCAUCACCCAAUGACUUCAGACAUAACAUGCUUGCAUGGCUUCAGAUGAUUCUGAUGUCCUCUGGCCAGGGUCAUUGGAUUUAGAGACUUCCCAUCUCAAUAUGGAGCAAGGACCUG